rnacentral:rRNA from 1 species
GACGAACCGUCCGAACGUUAUUCGGAAUCACUGGGCUUAAAGGGUGCGUAGGCGGCGCGGAAAGUUGGGUGUGAAAUCCCUCGGCUCAACCGAGGAACUGCGCCCAAAACUGCCGUGCUCGAGGGAGAUAGAGGUGAGCAGAACUUAGGGUGGAGCGGUGAAAUGCGUUGAUAUAGGAAGGAACACCAGUGGCGAAGGCGACCACCUGGACUGAUACUGACACUGAGGUGCGAAAGCGUGGGGAGUAAACAGG